rnacentral:rRNA from 1 species
AUGAGCACGAAGAGCGCCCCGAUCGAGAGCGCCGAAUCGGGAGACGGGCGUCCCGAACUGGACGUCGGACCGGGUCCAGUUCCCCUCGUCUUCUCUCCAACCAAAGGAAAGACCGAUGGCGGCGGUGGGCGGAGAAGUCGUGGGGCCGUGGCCGCGAGGAGGCGGCGGCCGGCGGAGAAGUCCGAGGCCGCGAGCUGGGAGGAGGCGGCGUUGGGAGACGUGCAACCAAGGCGGACUCGAUCCAGAGGAGGAGAGCAGCAGCGGCUCGAGCCACUCCUUAGAAGGCGGCAGAGGAGAUCCAGCGAGCGGAUCAGCUGGAGGCGUGUGGGUAGCAGAGGUCCAGCGGGUAGGUGCGGUGAAGCAGCAACGAACAGCGACGGGGAAGGAGCAGUGGCUGCCAGCAGGGAAGAAGACAGCGACGGCCGGGAGUACCGGCGGACGUGA